rnacentral:rRNA from 1 species
AUGUGUGAUGCUAGUGAUUAUGUUGUAGGUGUUGUUCUAGGACAAAGAGUUGAUAAGAAACUAAAUGUUAUUCAAUAUGCUAGUAAAACUCUAGACAAUGCUCAAAGAAAUUAUUCUACUACUGAAAAAGAAUUCUUAGCAGUUGUAUUUGCCUGUGAUAAGUUUAGACCUUAUAUUGUUGAUUCUAAAGUAACUAUUCACACUGAUCAUGCUACUAUUAAAUAUCUUAUGGAAAAGAAAGAUGCUAAACCUAGACUUAUUAGAUGUGUUCUCUUGCUACAAGAAUUUGAUUUACAUAUUGUUGAUAGAAAAGGAGCUGAGAACCCCGUUGCAGACAACUUGUCUAGGCUAGAAAAUGUGCUUGAUGACCCACUACCUAUUGAUGAUAGCUUUCCUGAGGAGUAA